CCGGGUUCAGGGGACCUUUCCCCGCGGACCCUCCCACUCUCGGGGUAGGCCGGGCCUGGGACAGCGGGGUGCUCCGCGGCAGUUGCUCAGCCCAACAAACCCUUACGUCGGGUUUAGCCCGCCAUCUGAGGCAGGUUCCGAUUUAUGUCCGCUCUCUGGCUAUCGCUUGUUCAUGGCGCUCCCUUUCUACUUUUCCUGAAACUUUUCUCUCAGUUUCUCACGAACUUUAACGGCCCUCCCUUCGCCUACCCCCGACCGCUACGCGGGGCCGGCAUACGCCUUGCCGAGAACGACCAGGCGGCGAGCCGAGCCCCACACCUGACAACAGCCGGCGCGGCCGCCGGUUUCGGGCCCCCGGGAUCCACGGGGGCCACCGGCAGCAGCCGUGCCGGCCAUGGGCGCGCGGAUUUCCGCACAGGGAGCCCCGUGACGCGACGUUGCCGGACGCCCGAGGGGUAGGCUGGGCAGAACUUUGUGCCUGGUUCCUCAGACUGUACGCACGCUCAGCUGCCCAAGACUUUGGACCCUACGCGUUCCUUCGACUGCUCGCCCUCCGGGAGUGCCCGGCGUGGCGACCGGCUGGGACUAGAAGACACUUCCCAAGCUCAACCUCGUGCGGACAGCCCUGGGCUUUCUACCACUUGAUACGGACUCGCCCCGCUUCGGUCUCCUUUGAGACCACCUCCGAGCUUCGCUAUGACUGCACGUUUAGCAAGCAGACUGAACCCAUAUCCCCGCUUUCUGAUUAGCUUGGUAGAUCAUCGACCAAGGGAGGCUUCAAAGGGAGUCCUAUCGACCUCGGGUAAUGCUCAAGAUAGUCCAUUUCGGUUACUAAUCUCCGUAACCCCUGCGUUUCAGGAGCUGGAUAAGAGUUUGAAAUUUAUCCAUCCUACCGCGCCGACGAAGCCACUCGGCACGGUACCUUAGCCCACGAGGUUCACCCGGUAAAAACCAUUCGUCUUGACCGCUACGCCCUACUUGGCCUUCGGCCCAAUGCCACGGGUUGACGCGCGAUUGGAUCUUGGGUGUUUCCCACAACCAGCUAAUUCUGUCGUCCUGCCACCAGUACCUUCAGCUUUAGGCGAUUCCUCACACAUUGUUGAGUGGACGGCUUAGUUGAUCGGGGCUUUUACCUACCGCGACUUCGCGCGCUGGGUGUGGGCCGGUAGACCCGCUCGCGGUACGGGGCUACUCAUCCUCCCGCGCCGCCGGCGACGUUUUGGGCCCCGCGCUCGGGCCCGCCUCGCCGGCAGCCACGUCUAGAACCACCAUCAUCGUUUAUAAGUUUACUCUUGAAACUUCCGGCUUCUCCUCUUUCCAAGGUACACUUGCAGUGAAGGUGUACCCAUUCGGCUAGGAUUCCCUGCCCCAUUGGGGCCGUCUAUCGCGCUAGUGCGCGUACGGGGCUUUCCCUUAACCCAAUUCUAAAGGGCUCGGCCCUACACCGCCAACUGCCGCUACAAUCCUUCAGGCCUCUGCGGCCGCCCCCGGAGCCCUUCUCAAUAGAAAAGACGAAUUGCCGGACGGUUGGGACCUUUGCCAAGUCGGCCUCCAUCCCAGGUCACCGGCCUUCUCGUGGCGUGCAGCGCGCCACAGGCCACGCGGGGGUCGCCGGGUACUUUUAGGCCUCCUGGCUCAUGGCAAGUGCGGGCCAGCAUGAGUAUUGGCGUAGUCCAGAGGUUCCACUUGUCGGAGACCGGUUACCUUGUUACAUCCGUUCCCUUCAGCCGUUUUGCCUAGACAUUGAAGCCCUUUUCCUAACCGAGACUCCUGACCCGAGCCCCCAGGGCCGGGGCUUGGGCAGCCGACAGCCGCCUAACGAGCUCGACGAGUGCGCCGCUCUCGCCCAGCGGCGCACGGCCGGCCCCCUGCCUGGCCCUUAGCGGGGAAGCCCCCGAAAGGGGCUCGUACUUUGUCAGCUGAGUCUUGACCAUGCCUGUUCCCCUUAGGCUGACAAAUUAAUUUUGUUUCGUAACGCUACCAGGAGCGCCUACGACUGCGUUACACUAAAGACGGGUCACGAGACUUACAGUUUCACUUCUUUAAGUUGGUUCGCGCCCAUUUGCCGCC
rnacentral:rRNA from 1 species